AAAAAUUGGGGCACCUGGGUGGCUCAGUCAAACGGCCGACUUCGGCUCAGGUCAUGAUCUCACAGCUCUUGAGGUCAAGCCCCGAGACAGGUUCUCUGCUUACAGCUCAGAGCCUGGAGCCUCUUCAGAUUCUGUGUCUUCCCCUCUCUCUGCCCCUC